rnacentral:rRNA from 1 species
AUUGAACGCUGGCGGCAGGCCUAACACAUGCAAGUCGAGCGGAGCGGCGGUCGGGUGCGUAAUGCCUAGGACUCUGCCUGGUAGUGGGGGAUAACGUCCGGUAACGGGCGCUAAUACCGCAUCCUCUCAGAUGAGCCUAGGGGGGAUUAGCGAGUUGGUGGGGUAAAGGCAUACCAAGGCGACGAUCCGUAACUGGUCUGAGAGGAUGAUCAGUCACACUGGAACUGAGACACGGUCCAGACUCCUACGGGAGGCAGCAGUGGGGAAUAUUGGACAAUGGGCGAAAGCCUGAUCCAGCCAUGCCGCGUGUGUGAAGAAGGUCUUCGGAUUGUAAAGCACUUUAAGUUGGGAGGCGUUACCAACAGAAUAAGCACCGGCUAACUUCGUGCCAGCAGCCGCGGUAAUUC